UACGAAGGGGGCUAGCGUUGCUCGGAAUCACUGGGCGUAAAGCGCACGUAGGCGGCUCUUUAAGUCAGGGGUGAAAUCCUGGAGCUCAACUCCAGAACUGCCUUUGAUACUGAGGAUCUUGAGUCCGGGAGAGGUGAGUGGAACUCCGAGUGUAGAGGUGAAAUUCGUAGAUAUUCGGAAGAACACCAGUGGCGAAGGCGGCUCACUGGCCCGGUACUGACGCUGAGGUGCGAAAGCGUGGGGAGCAAACAGG
rnacentral:rRNA from 1 species